ACACAAAUCACCUGCAGAUCUUGCUAAAAUGCAGAUCUGAAGCUAUAAGUCUGAAGCUCGGCCUAGAAUUCUGCAUGUCUAUCAAGUACCCAGGUGAUAAGCCU
rnacentral:miRNA from 1 species